GUUUUUUUUAAAAAAAACAGAGGUUUCUUAAAUCUAACAUGGACUUAGAAGUCUCAAACCCCUGACAAAAUUUCUUAUCUUCUAAGGCUAACUAGAGGUUCUCUAAAUUUCGGUCUCAUCUUUAAUCAGUGUUCUAUUAUGCGUCUGCUCCGGACUCCGUCUGUAUGGUUUUAUACGUGGUCAUACUUUCAUCCGUCUAUGACUAUUGGUUUUAUUACAAUCUAUUGUUGCAAUCAUAU
rnacentral:misc_RNA from 1 species